GCCCCCGCUUUCCUCUUCAUACGCAAAACGAAAUUGAUAUUUAUUUUUCUACUUUACCCAUUCAAAUCCAUGUCAUUCUUCUAAUCAAAAUCUUCUCUCAUAGCAAUUAAUUUUUCCGAUUUCCAAUUCAUAUGGAAUCAGCUGUCUUCUUCAUCGAUUACAGAGAGCAUCAGAAUUCAUUUUCCUUUCCUAUUCUCUCUCUAUCUCACGCCACUCUCCCUUUUUUUAUUUUCAGUUUCAAACAAAAACAAAGCUGAUGAUGACGAUGUAAAGAGGAGGCCGCGAACUGAAGAGGGUUGAGGAGAAGGCGUCGCGUGAUUGAAGACAGAGAGGUCGUGGUCACGGUGGCAGUGAAGUAGACGAGUGAAGAAGGAGAAGCAAGUCACGCCGUUGCAAACUAAAGAGAGAUUUCGUCACGGCACAAUAUUGAUAACCCUAAGCUAACCCAAGUUAAGUGGCUAUUACAGGACUGUCAUGCGCGUGAGGCGACAUAUUAACUCAUUGGAGGAACGGCUUUUGGAGAGCUUGGUAUGGGAAAAGGGUUCUUUAAUGUAUAAUUCAUUAGCAGUCGCUAGACCCGCACUUUCUGUAGACCUCAAUCGGCUUGGUAUGUUGGCAGAACCCAUGUGAUCAUUAGAUGAAAUCGCAAUGGAUAUUAACUUCUCUUAUGGAGGACUCCCUCUUGUGCCUUCCUUGCCGAAGCCCGAGACUAUGUCAGCUUAAAACGGGGACCCCAAAUCACCCAAAUGGCUUUGCACUGAACAUCGAAAUGUGUUGGGGGAACAAAAUUCUUUUACUUCACUGGUGAAAGACAGGCUUCUUCACUUAAGCAACCUAAAGUCAAAAUUACUCCCACCUCCUUUGCGAUCAACAUUUGCAAGAUAUAACUUUCACGAGGCUUAAAGUAACAUUAUCUGUAAGUUUGCUUCCUUUGUUGCUUUGUGUUGAAUGUUCAUGUUUAUUCUUUGUAGUCCGACAAAGCCAAAUCCAGGAGGUGGCGGAGAAACAUGUGCACAAAUUGGUAUCGGUGUCUUUUUCAGCAAGAUUUUCAAGUUAGGAGAAGUCGGAAUAAGCGGAAUGGUUGAAAGGCUACAAUUAUCUCACUAGAUAAGGGAGAAUGUAUAUUGUUUUUUCCAGCGAAUCCUAAACCAAUGGACAUCUCUCUUCUUUAGCCGCCAUAUUGACCGAAUCAAUGCGUGUUGCUUCUAUGGAGUUGCGAAGAUAUCACAAUUGAACUUAACUUUUAGGGAGAUUACAUACAACUACAGAGAGCAACCCCAAUGCAAACUACAAUUUUUUCGCAACAUAUUCGUUUAUUGGUCAUCCACACGCCACAAUGGAUCAUCCAAACAGAGAACAGGGCACGAACACAUCGAUAUCAUUUCAUUUUGCAUCGAAGUUUUCAUCCCCUCCGUAAAGCCACUGCUGGUUGAAAUUGGCCCUGGCAACCUGAAGCUAACAACAAAAACAACUGUAUUUGCUUAUUCACUUAGUUACUUUCAACCAUUGCUACGCAGUUUUUGAAUUGCGUUAUGUUAACGAUAAUAUCAUCUCCUUAACUAAUAUGUUUUUUUAAGCAACAAGAAAGUAAGAGGGUCCCUCAAUUUCAAUUACGUCAAUGUUGGCUCAGUUAGCUACUCUAUGGUAGCAAAUAACCUUUAUCUGCAAAACAGAAGUUCCGCAUCAACUUCAGGUGCACCAUUGAAGACUGAGCAACCUCACUCUUAAACUCAAUUAUGUUUACAUUCUAACCGUGUCUCUUUUCUCAUGCUUUCUGAGUUCAUACUAGAUGUUAAUGGAUUUUGAGAUGAGGGGAUAUGUAUAGCGACAUGGUUGUAGAAAGCCGCCUCUACCCCUUUGUACUUUUGGUAUAUUGUUAGGCAUUUUAGUGCAAAUUGUAGGUCUUGCUUUCAAUUAGCUAAGCAAUAAAAUGUUUGCCUUUUCUAGCUUAAAACACAAA